rnacentral:sRNA from 1 species
GACACUGGCGGUCGGCGCUCCUGGUUCCCAGGACGGGGUUCAAAUCCCUGCGGUGUC